rnacentral:lncRNA from 1 species
UUUUGUGAUAUUGAGUAUAUGAAUUAUUUAUAUAUUUUGAUAUUAACAUCUUAUGCAUAUUUAUAAAUAUUUUUUCCCAUGGAGUAGGCAGCCUUUCCAUUUUCUUGAUGGUUUCCUUUGCUGUGCCAAAGCUUUUAAGUUUGAUUAGGUCCCAUUUGUUUAUUUUUUGCUUUUGUUUCCCUUGCCUGAGGGGACCUCCAAAAAAGUAUUGCUAAGACCAGUGUCAAAGAGCAUACCACCUAUAUUUUCUUCCAGGAGUUUUAUGGUUUUAGGUCUUCCAUUUAAGUCUUUAAUCCAUUUUAAGUUUAUUUUUGUAUACGAUAUGAAAAUAUAUUCUAAUUUUAUUCUUUUGCAUGUAUUGUCCAGUUUCUCAGCAUCACUUCUUGGAGAGACUGUCUUUUCCCCAAUCUGUAUGCUUACCUCCCGUGUCAUAGAUUAGCUGACCGUAAGUGUGUGGAGUUUAUUAGGGGCUUUAUAUUCUGUUCCACUGAUCUAUGUGUCUGUUUUUGUGGCAGUACCAUACUAAUUUAAUUACUGUAGCUUUGUGAUAUAGUUUGAAAUCAGGGAGUGUGACCUCAUGCUUUGUUGUUUUUUCUCAACAUUGCUUUGACUAUUUGGGGUCUUUUGUGGUUCCAUCCAAAUUUUAGGAUUAUUUGUUCUAGUUCUGGUGAAAAGGUUGUGGGUAUUUUGAUAGAGAUUAUAGUAAAUUUGUAGAUGCUUUGGGUAGUAUAGACAUUUUAACAAUGUUAAUUCUUCCAGUCUGUAAACAUGAGACAUAUUUCCAUGUAUUUGCAUUGGUGCCCAUAAAAGAAGCCUGAGAGAUCUCCCUUAACCCCCUUCUGCCAUCUGAGAAUACAAGAAGUCUGAAAUAUAGAAGAAAUCCCUCACCAAACCAUGCUGGCACCCUAAUCUCAGACUUUCAGCCUCCUAAAACUGUGAAAAGUAAAUUUAUGCCUUUUAUAAACUGCUCAGUCUGUGGUAUUUUGUUACAGUAGCCAGAACAGAUGAGACACAUGAGUUCUAAACUAAUAAUAGAAACAUAUGUAAUCAGUGAACAGAAGGAUAAGGGUGGAACUAGUCAGUAGUAUGAAAGAGGGCAUUGUACUUUCAGAGGUGCUAUUUUCUUCUCAAGUAACCAGUGCAUAUUACUGUCCUAACACCUUCCAUAAUCAUUUCUUGCAAUUCUCUUUUUACUUUCUGUACGCUAGUUCGACUCUGAUUCCUAAGAGAAGACAAGAGGCCUUUAUCUAGCAUGAACCUGGUGCAAGUUUAGAGAAAGAAUGACUUUUUUUUUUUUUAAUGCAGGGUAGGAAGGAAGCAAAGUAGAAGAGACAGAAGGAGGGAAAGCCUGUGCAUGACAACCACUACUCUUUUGACAAUUUAAUGUCCAGCUGUUCUGUCAUUCUACUGUGGUGAUGGCUCUUUUAAGGUACCAUGGCCGUUAACGUGUGCCUGUCUCUAUAUGUGUGUGUGUGUGUGUGUGUGUGUGUGUCCAGUUGUCCCACUCCUGUCCCAUCUGUCUCUAUAUAGGCAUACUUUGGAGGUAUUACUAGUUAGGUUCCAGACCGCAAGAAAGUGAAUAUCACAGUAGAGCAAGUCAUGUAUUUUUUACAAUUUGUGAGCACAAAUAUAAGUUUUAUUUAAACUAUAGUGUAUUAAGUGUACAGUAGCAUUUUUUCUUUAAAAAGUUCAUACUGUAACUAAGAUGAUCUGAGCCUUCCGUGAGUUGUAAUCAUUUUGCUUGUGGAUGGUCUUGGCUAGAUACUGCUGACUGCUGACUGAUCAGGAUGGUGGUUGCUAAAAGUUGGGAUGGCUGUGGCAAUUUCUUUAAACAAGACAACAGUGUUGUUUGUUGCAUUGAUUGACUCUUCCUUUCAUGAACACUUUCUCUAUAGCACACAGUGCUCUUUGAUAGCAUUUUACCCACAAUAGAACUUCUUUCAAAAUUGGAGUCAAUCCUCUUAAACUCUGCUUUAGCAAGUAAUUUUAUAUAAUAUUCUAGAUCCUUUUGUCAUUUAAGUAGUCUUCACAGCAUCUUCACCAGGACUAGUUUCCAUCUCAAAAAACCAUUUUCAUUGUUCAUCCAUAAGUAGUAACUCCUCACACAUUAAAUGUUAUCAUGAAUUAUAGCAAAUCUUCAUCUUCACCUUCUACUUCUAAUACUAGUUCUUUUGCUAUUUCUACCACAUCUGCAGUUACUUCUUCCGCUAAAGUCUUGAACCUCUCCAAACCAUCUGUGAGAGUUAGUAUCAAAUUCAUAUCUCCAACUUUCUCACUUUAUAUUUCUUCAUUCAGCUUUUAUAUUCCUAGCAAUAAGGUUUUACACCAUCUCAGUUUAAAUACUUUUCAAACUCCACAACACCCUGCAUAUCACAAAGUCAAAUGGGACUUUUUCUCUUAUUCAUUUGUUCUACUGACCAUUACUUUUCCCUGAAACUUAGCUCGAAAUCAUUCUCUCCCUACCUCUGUAUCAUCUUCUGGAUCCACUUUGUCCUCAAAUCAUUUUUUUGGUCUUUUGUCUUUUUAGGGCCAUGCCUGUGGCACACUGAGGUGCCCAGGCUAGGGGGCUAAUAGGAGCUGUAGCCUCCAGCCUACACUACAGCCAUUGCAAUGCCAGAUCUGAGCUAUGUCUGCAACCUACACCACAGCUCACAGCAACGCCAGAUCCUUAACCAACUGAGCAGGGCCAAGGAUCAAACCCACAACCUCAUGGUUUCUAGUCGGAUUCGUUUCCACCGCACCAUGGCAGGAACUCCUGUCCUCAAAUCUUAAGCUGCAGUUUCUGUUUCCUAGGCAUCUUUUCUCAGCCCUCUUUUCUUUUUAUUUUAUACUAUCUCCUUAAAAAAACAUGUACAUAAUUGUUCUUUUCAAAUAACUACUGAAGCUCAUGGAUAAACUAAACUCUUUAUCUUUAUCCCCAAACUAAUUUAUUUUAUAAUCUACCCUGAUUGCUUUUAUAGCACCAGGUUGUUGUUAUCUAAGGCUUACUUCAGGUUUCUUCUGCCCAGUCUGAAAAUUAAGCUUUGUUUUUUUCUUUUUUCAUUAGAAAUACUAAGAUAUAUAACCUGCAAAUAUUCAUGUUAUUUUAUUUGGAUCCUUUAAUCUCCUAACUACUCUCUCUGCCUUCAAACUUGAAUCUCACUCUCCAAUUCUCUAUGAGCAAUUCUUAUUUAACCACCUUUGUUAAAAUCUUAUGAUAUCCCCUCUAAUUUUGAACACAAAAAUAACAAAUUUUUCAGCUUAACAGUAAAGAGUACUCAUGAUUUGACUACAUUUUCAUUUUUAAUCUCCCUGUAAUCCUCCAUUCAAUACUGUAUUCAAGAAAAAAACUACAUGCACUCUCCUGAAUUUGUUGUUUCUAUCAUUUGUUUUUUAAAAAAUAUGCUGUUUCUUCUUUUGAAAGUGUCAUAAUUUCUAAUGCACUCCAGUAAAGUCCAAUGUAUCCUUCAAAAAGGAAAGAAAUUGGAGUUCCCAUUGUGGUUCAAUGGAAACGAACCCAACUAGUAUCCAGAGGACACAAAUUCAGUCCCUGGCCUUGCUCAGUGGGUUAAGGAUCUGGCAUUGCCAUGAGAUGUGGUGUGGGUCACAGAUGCAGCACGGAUCUAAUGUUGCUGUGGCUGUGGCAUAGACCAGCAGCUAUAGUUCUGAUUUGACCUCUAGCCUAGGAACCUCCAU